UAUAUGUACAUACAUGUUAUGUAUGUAUGUGUGUGUGUAUAUAUAUAUAUAUAUAUAUAUAAAUUAGUUUUAAAAAAAAAAGAAAGAAGAAAGGAGAGAAAAACAGAGAGAGAAACCAAGAAGGAAGAAAGAAGAAUAGAAAAGAGAUGAAACAGAAAUGAGAAAGAUGACGCAAGGAGGGUUCAAAAGAUGUAGAAGGUAAUUUAUUUGUUGAUGUGUAUUUUGUUAAGAUUUGAAAAGUUAUACUGCUUUUCUUUGUGUUAAAAUCAUGAAAACACAUAGUAUAUAUAUGCAUAUGUAUAUCUAUAGAAAUUGUUAUGAUUAAAUUGAUUCCUAAUAUUUAACUAUUAAUCGUAUAUGUUUGCACAGAUUAUGCGAUAAUGCCGUGCGAUGAUGUUUUGAGAGUGGUGGAUUUAUAGUUGAGAUUAGAGAAAGGAGGAAAAAUUUUAGAAACUGGAAUUCGCAGCUUUUAUUGUUCUUCAAUGGCUGCCCCGACUUAAAGAUUAUCAAGUGUGGUUGAGACCGUCAAACUAUCGUACACCCUAUUUUAAAAUUGGUCAAUCAGAUGAGUUUUUGGUCAUGUGAAUAGACAUUUUCUAUAUUUUUCAGCAUUCUGAAUUCGAUUUUGGGGUCAGAUUUGACAGAUUCUGACUAUAGAAUGCUGAUUUGUGAAGUAGUGUAGAAAAAGUGUUUAGUGGCUACCUAAUUGUUAAUAACGGUGGAAUUAUCUUAAUAGGUGUCUUGGUUACGUGAAUGGAGCGGGUGCAAGUAAGCUUGGAAGUGAAAUUGGAGGUUGAUAAGGUGAGAGUAUCUAACUUUUAUAAUGACUUGAAAUAUAAUAUUUUUCAUACUUAUUCACUUUAUGAAAAAUGAUUGAAAAUAUGGUUGAUUAAGUUGGAUCAAAAUAUUAUUGAAGAAAAUAUUAUGUUUAUAUCCAUGUAUGGAUCAAAUGUUAUUUUUAUAUCUUAUGUGUCAGUGUACUAGUUUGUGAGCUUGGUUGUGUGCUUGCCUACUAGUUAACAAGUUUGGUUGUUGUGCUUGCGUUGAUUAUUUGGCAUUUGCUUGUUUGUGUUCCUGGUGAGCUUGGUUUUUGCGUACCUUUUUGGUGAUAACUAAUCUAACAUGCUGACACCUACUACCUUGGUGAAUAAAGAAUGGCCUCCUCACGCGCCACUAUAAUGUGAGUCGUGAUUGAGGUAACCGGUACCCGUCAUAACUCCCGAGUUGUGAGGUAACGCUCACUCUGGCAUAUUUGGUUUACAAUUUUCUUUUGAGAAUAUAAUUGUACUUUUGAAUUAUUCCCCCGCUUGGGAAGAAUUGGUUAGAGCGUUUUUCCAUGGUUGCAGGAAAUUAUUAAAAUUUUGGUGAAUAUUUUAAUUGAACGGUUGCAUUCUUUCGCGACAACUUUGAUCAUAAAAUGCUUGUUUAAAAACAAUAGGCUGAAAUUUUUAUUGAAUAUUGUUUUUUGAAAUUUUUGUUAAAUUUCUUUAAAGUUGGUUGUUUAAAAGGUUGAUCCAUUUUAAAUUGUUGCAAAGCAUAUUUGUUUACAUUAUGAUACUAAGUAUACUCUCUUAUAACCUUUUUGGUUGCAGAUAUUGAUUCAAGAUAGAAGUCGGUCCAAUAUAGUACAAGGUUGAGAGUUUUUAAUAUUUUUGGAUUGUGAUAUUUAUCGUUGGUUGUGAGAUGUUGAGAUUAUUUUUUUAUGGAUGGUUGUAAGGAAAUUUUUAUAUUCCCAGUUUAUGUAGAGUGAGGUUGAAAUAUUAUUAUGUGGAUUGGGGUAUAUUUUUAGUUGAGUAGAAUUUUCUUAUAAUAGUUUGACAGGUUUUUAUUUAUGAGAUAGUAACAAGUUACAGUUGAUCACGUUACUCUGUGUGGGUUCGGGUCUGAUGAGUGCAAAAUAUACGUAUAUUUUUAUU
rnacentral:lncRNA from 1 species